GCCGUAGAAGCGGGUUACUUCGAUUGGUAAUCGAGAGGUCGCGGGUUCGAAUCCCGUUGGGGGCG
rnacentral:tRNA from 1 species